rnacentral:rRNA from 1 species
GGGGGCUAGCGUUGCUCGGAAUCACUGGGCGUAAAGGGUGCGUAGGCGGGUCUUUAAGUGAGGGGUGAAAUCCUGGAGCUCAACUCCAGAACUGCCUUUGAUACUGAAGAUCUUGAGUUCGGGAGAGGUGAGUGGAACUGCGAGUGUAGAGGUGAAAUUCGUAGAUAUUCGCAAAAACACCAGUGGCGAAGGCGGCUCACUGGCCCGAUACUGACGCUGAGGCACGAAAGCGUGGGGAGCAAACAGG